rnacentral:rRNA from 1 species
GAUGAACGCUGGCGGCGUGCCUAAUACAUGCAAGUCGAGCGAACAGACGAGUAGCUUCCUCCUCACACGUUAGCGGCGGACGGGUGAGUAACACGGGUAUAACCUACCUAUAAUACUGGGAUAACUUCGGGAAACCGUAUCUAAUACCGGAUAAUAUAUUGAACCGUAUGGUUCAGUAGUGAAAUACGGUUUUGGUGUCACUUAUAGCUUGAUCCGCGCUGCAUGAGAUAGUUGGUAAGGUAACGGCUUACCAAGGCGACGAUGCGUAGCCGACCGGGGCGGGUGAUCGGCCACCCUGGAACUGAGACACGGUCAAGACUCCUACGGGACGCAGCAGUAGGGAAUCUGAGGCAAUGGGCGAAAGCCUGACGGAGCAAGGCCGCGUGAGUGAUGAAGGUCUUCGGAUCGUAAAACUCUGUUAUUAGGGAAGAACAAAUGUGUAAGUAACUAUGCACGUAUUGACGGUACCUAAUCAGAAAGCCACGGCUAACUACGUG